UACAGAGGGUGCAAGCGUUAAUCGGAAUUACUGGGCGUAAAGCGCGCGUAGGCGGUUUUUUAAGUCAGAUGUGAAAGCCCCGGGCUCAACCUGGGAAUUGCAUUUGAAACUGGGGAACUAGAGUGUGUGAGAGGGGGGUAGAAUUCCAAGUGUAGCGGUGAAAUGCGUAGAGAUUUGGAGGAAUACCAGUGGCGAAGGCGGCCCCCUGGCACAACACUGACGCUCAGGUGCGAAAGCGUGGGGAGCAAACAGG
rnacentral:rRNA from 1 species